rnacentral:rRNA from 1 species
UACGAGAGGCCCAAACGUUAUUCGGAAUUACUGGGCUUAAAGAGUUCGUAGGCGGCCUGACAAGUAGGGGGUGAAAGCCCUCGGCUCAACCGAGGAAUUGCGCUCUAAACUGUCGUGCUCGAGGAACCUAGAGGUGAGCAGAACAGAUGGUGGAGCGGUGAAAUGCGUUGAUAUCAUCUGGAAUACCGGAGGCGAAGGCGGCUCACUGGGGGUUUUCUGACGCUGAGGAACGAAAGCCAGGGUAGCGAACGGG